AAGUCGUAACAAGGUUUCCGUAGGUGAACCUGCGGAAGGAUCAUUACCAAUUCGAAUUGGCGUGUUGUUGGGGGUGAGGCUGGGGGCUUUUUAAGCUUCCGCACACCACCAAACGCACGCCAAACUCUACCAACCUUUGAUUGUGAACCAUGAGAUUCCAACACAUAGUCUUCCCGUUUUUUGCUUUGCAAAAAGCGGGGAGCAAUUUUAUCCAACCCCAAUUUCACUCUUCACACCACCACCACGCGUGUGUGUGUGGGGGGGACAAAAGCAAGCGUUGAGCUCCGAAAGCAAAAAAAACAGAAUGUCAUGUACAACUUUUAACGGCGGAUCUCUUGGCUCGU
rnacentral:misc_RNA from 1 species